rnacentral:rRNA from 1 species
CCUACGGGUGGCAGCAGUGAGGAAUAUUGGUCAAUGGCCGGAAGGCUGAACCAGCCAAGCCGCGUGAGGGACGAAGGUGCCAAGCGUUGUAGACUUCUUUUGCCAGGGGACAAAAUCCCGGACGAGACCGUGCCUGAGGGUACUUGAAGAAAAAGCAUCGGCUAACUCCGUGCCAGCAGCCGCGGUAAUACGGAGGAUGCGAGCGUUAUCCGGAUUUAUUGGGUUUAAAGGGUUCGUAGGCGGUCCGUUAAGUCAGCGGUAAAAUCCCGGGGCUCAACCCCGGCGAGCCGUUGAAACUGGCGGUCUUGAGAGGUCGAGAGGGAUGCGGAAUGCGCAGUGUAGCGGUGAAAUGCUUAGAUAUUGCGCAGAACUCCGAUUGCGAAGGCAGCAUACCGGCGGGGAUCUGACGCUGAGGCACGAAAGCGUGGGGAUCGAACAGGAUUAGAUACCCCGGUAGUC